rfam:Caenorhabditis briggsae complete genome, chrII
CCCCGGUGCCCGCUUUUUCAGUAGUUUGAAACCAGAGAUGAUAGUUGGUUACAAAGUAUUUGAAAAGGCGUGCACUGGGU